rnacentral:rRNA from 1 species
CCUCGGGGGGCUGCAGUGGGGAAUAUUGGACAAUGGGCGCAAGCCUGAUCCAGCCAUGCCGCGUGAGUGAUGAAGGCCCUAGGGUUGUAAAGCUCUUUCGCCAGGGACGAUAAUGACGGUACCUGGAUAAGAAGCCCCGGCUAACUUCGUGCCAGCAGCCGCGGUAAUACGAAGGGGGCUAGCGUUGUUCGGAAUCACUGGGCGUAAAGCGCACGUAGGCGGAUUUUUAAGUCAGGGGUGAAAUCCCGAGGCUCAACCUCGGAACUGCCGUUGAGACUGGGAGUGUAGAGUCCGGGAGAGGUGAGUGGAACUGCGAGUGUAGAGGUGAAAUUCGUAGAUAUUCGCAAGAACACCAGUGGCGAAGGCGGCUCACUGGCACGGAACUGACGCUGAGGUGCGAAAGCGUGGGGAGCAAACAGGAUUAGAUACCCCUGUAGUC